UUUUGUAGAAUGAACCGGCGAGUUACGAUUUGAUGCAAGGUUAAGCAGUAAAUGUGGAGCCGUAGCGAAAGCGAGUCUGAAUAGGGCGUUUAGUAUUUGGUCGUAGACCCGAAACCAGGUGAUCUACCCUUGGUCAGGUUGAAGUUCAGGUAACACUGAAUGGAGGACCGAACCGACUUACGUUGAAAAGUGAGCGGAUGAACUGAGGGUAGCGGAGAAAUUCCAAUCGAACCUGGAGAUAGCUGGUUCUCUCCGAAAUAGCUUUAGGGCUAGCCUCAAGUGAUGAUUAUUGGAGGUAGAGCACUGUUUGGACGAGGGGCCCCUCUCGGGUUACCGAAUUCAGACAAACUCCGAAUGCCAAUUAAUUUAACUUGGGAGUCAGAACAUGGGUGAUAAGGUCCGUGUUCGAAAGGGAAACAGCCCAGACCACCAGCUAAGGUCCCAAAAUAUAUGUUAAGUGGAAAAGGAUGUGGCGUUGCCCAGACAACUAGGAUGUUGGCUUAGAAGCAGCCAUCAUUUAAAGAGUGCGUAAUAGCUCACUAGUCGAGUGACACUGCGCCGAAAAUGUACCGGGGCUAAACAUAUUACCGAAGCUGUGGAUUGUCCUUUGGACAAUGGUAGGAGAGCGUUCUAAGGGCGUUGAAGCAUGAUCGUAAGGACAUGUGGAGCGCUUAGAAGUGAGAAUGCCGGUGUGAGUAGCGAAAGACGGGUGAGAAUCCCGUCCACCGAUUGACUAAGGUUUCCAGAGGAAGGCUCGUCCGCUCUGGGUUAGUCGGGUCCUAAGCUGAGGCCGACAGGCGUAGGCGAUGGAUAACAGGUUGAUAUUCCUGUACCACCUAUAAUCGUUUUAAUCGAUGGGGGGACGCAGUAGGAUAGGCGAAGCGUGCGAUUGGAUUGCACGUCUAAGCAGUAAGGCUGAGUAUUAGGCA
rnacentral:rRNA from 1 species